rnacentral:rRNA from 1 species
AGUGAACGCUGGCGGUAGGCCUAACACAUGCAAGUCGAACGGCAGCACAGUAAGAGCUUGCUCUUACGGGUGGCGAGUGGCGGACGGGUGAGGAAUACAUCGGAAUCUACUUUUUCGUGGGGGAUAACGUAGGGAAACUUACGCUAAUACCGCAUACGACCUACGGGUGAAAGCAGGGGAUCUUCGGACCUUGCGCGAUUGAAUGAGCCGAUGUCGGAUUAGCUAGUUGGCGGGGUAAAGGCCCACCAAGGCGACGAUCCGUAGCUGGUCUGAGAGGGUGAUCAGCCACACUGGAACUGAGACACGGUCCAGACUCCUACGGGAGGCCGCAGUGGGGAAUAUUGGACAAUGGGCGCAAGCCUGAUCCAGCCAUACCGCGUGGGUGAAGAAGGCCUUCGGGUUGUAAAGCCCUUUUGUUGGGAAAGAAAAGCAGCAGGUUAAUACCCCGCUGUUCUGACGGUACCCAAAGAAUAAGCACCGGCUAACUUCGUG